rnacentral:rRNA from 1 species
UGGCUCAGGAUGAACGCUAGCGACAGGCUUAACACAUGCAAGUCGAGGGGCAGCGGAGGCGAGUGCUUGCACUUGCCAGACGGCGACCGGCGCACGGGUGAGUAACACGUAUGCGACCCGCCCGUAGCAGGGGGAUAAGCGGAAGAAAUUCCGUCUAAUACCGCGUAAUAUCUUUCGGGGGCAUCCCUGAGGGAUUAAAGGAAGCGAUUCCGGCUACGGAUGGGCAUGCGGCGCAUUAGCUAGUCGGCGGGGUAACGGCCCACCGAGGCGACGAUGCGUAGGGGUUCUGAGAGGAAGGUCCCCCACACUGGUACUGAGACACGGACCAGACUCCUACGGGAGGCAGCAGUGAGGAAUAUUGGUCAAUGGGCGAGAGCCUGAACCAGCCAAGUCGCGUGAGGGAAGACGGUCCUAUGGAUUGUAAACCUCUUUUGUCGGGGAGCAAAAAGGCCUCGUGAGGCCACAAGUGAGAGUACCCGAAGAAAAAGCAUCGGCUAACUCCGUGCCAGCAGCCGCGGUAAUACGGAGGAUGCGAGCGUUAUCCAGAUUUAUUGGGUUUAAAGGGUGCGUAGGCGGACUGGAAAGUCAGCGGUAAAAUCGAGAGGCUCAACCUCUUUCCGCCGUUGAAACUGUCGGUCUUGAGUGGGCGAGAAGUAUGCGGAAUGCGUGGUGUAGCGGUGAAAUGCAUAGAUAUCACGCAGAACUCCGAUUGCGAAGGCAGCAUACCGGCGCCCGACUGACGCUGAGGCACGAAAGCGUGGGUAUCGAACAGGAUUAGAUACCCUGGUAGUCCACGCAGUAAACGAUGAAUACUAAUUGUCCGGUCAGAAUGAUGACUGGGUGAUACAGCGAAAGCGUUAAGUAUUCCACCUGGGGAGUACGCCGGCAACGGUGAAACUCAAAGGAAUUGACGGGGGCCCGCACAAGCGGAGGAACAUGUGGUUUAAUUCGAUGAUGCGCGAGGAACCUUACCCGGGCUCAAACGUAGAAUGACAGACGGUGAAAGCCGUUCUCCCUUCGGGGCAGUCUACGAGGUGCUGCAUGGUUGUCGUCAGCUCGUGCCGUGAGGUGUCGGCUUAAGUGCCAUAACGAGCGCAACCCCCAUCUACAGUUGCUAACAGGUAAAGCUGAGGACUCUGUGGAGACUGCCGGCGCAAGCUGUGAGGAAGGCGGGGAUGACGUCAAAUCAGCACGGCCCUUACGUCCGGGGCGACACACGUGUUACAAUGGCAGGUACAGCGGGAAGCCAUAUGGCAGCAUAGAGCGGAACCCGAAAACCUGUCUCAGUUCGGAUUGGAGUCUGCAACCCGACUCCAUGAAGCUGGAUUCGCUAGUAAUCGCGCAUCAGCCACGGCGCGGUGAAUACGUUCCCGGGCCUUGUACACACCGCCCGUCAAGCCAUGGAAGCCGGGGGUACCUGAAGUGCGUGACCGCAAGGAGCGUCCUAGGGUAAAACCGGUGACUGGGGCUAAGUCGUAACAAGGUA